UACGCUCUAUAACCCUUUGUGAACAUACCUAUAACUGUUGCUUCGGCGGGUAGGGUCUCCGUGACCCUCCCGGCCUCCCGCCCCCGGGCGGGUCGGCGCCCGCCGGAGGAUAACCAAACUCUGAUUUAACGACGUUUCUUCUGAGUGGUACAAGCAAAUAAUCAAAACUUUUAACAACGGAUCUCUUGGUUCUGGCAUCGAUGAAGAACGCAGCGAAAUGCGAUAAGUAAUGUGAAUUGCAGAAUUCAGUGAAUCAUCGAAUCUUUGAACGCACAUUGCGCCCGCCAGCAUUCUGGCGGGCAUGCCUGUUCGAGCGUCAUUUCAACCCUCAAGCUCUGCUUGGUGUUGGGGCCCUACAGCUGAUGUAGGCCCUCAAAGGUAGUGGCGGACCCUCCCGGAGCCUCCUUUGCGUAGUAACUUUACGUCUCGCACUGGGAUCCGGAGGGACUCUUGCCGUAAAACCCCCAAUUUUCCAAAGGUUGACCUCGGAUCAGGUAGGAAUACCCGCUGAACUUAAGCA
rnacentral:rRNA from 1 species